GUGGGGAAUAUUGGACAAUGGGCGCAAGCCUGAUCCAGCCAUGCCGCGUGAGUGAUGAAGGCCCUAGGGUUGUAAAGCUCUUUCGUCAGGGACGAUAAUGACGGUACCUGAAGAAGAAGCCCCGGCUAACUUCGUGCCAGCAGCCGCGGUAAUACGAAGGGGGCUAGCGUUGUUCGGAAUCACUGGGCGUAAAGCGCACGUAGGCGGAUCUUUAAGUCAGAGGUGAAAUCCCAAGGCUCAACCUUGGAACUGCCUUUGAUACUGGGGAUCUCGAGUUCGGGAGAGGUGAGUGGAACUGCGAGUGUAGAGGUGAAAUUCGUAGAUAUUCGCAAGAACACCAGUGGCGAAGGCGGCUCACUGGCCCGAUACUGACGCUGAGGUGCGAAAGCGUGGGGAGCAAACAGG
rnacentral:rRNA from 1 species